rnacentral:rRNA from 1 species
GGCUCCCGCAAGGGCAUCUGUCGAGGUGCUGCAUGGCUGUCGUCAGCUCGUGUCGUGAGAUGUUGGGUUAAGUCCCGCAACGAGCGCAACCCUUGUCUUCUGUUGCCAUCAGGUCAAGCUGGGCACUCUGAAGAGACUGCCGGUGACAAACCGGAGGAAGGUGGGGAUGACGUCAAGUCAGCAUGGCCUUUAUGUCUGGGGCCACACACGUGCUACAAUGGCCGGUACAAACCGUCGCGAGCCCGCAAGGGGGAGCUAAUCGGAGAAAGCCGGUCUCAGUUCGGAUUGUCGGCUGCAACUCGCCGGCAUGAAGUUGGAAUCGCUAGUAAUCGCGGAUCAGCACGCCGCGGUGAAUACGUUCCCGGGCCUUGUACACACCGCCCGUCACAUCACGAAAGCUGG